GCGGCAAAUGGGAAAGUUGCACUUUCACAUCUUCUCUCAGUCAGUCUCCCCCGACUCCAAGUCCUUUCCCUCCUUCCUCGCACCAGCCACACUCACUCCCGCUACCCCUCCACCUGGUACGUACCAGUGGCGCGCAGAGCUUCCCGCCGCGCCCGGGCCAGGUGUCCUCGCGCUCGGGCUCGCCCAGCCUCCGUGUGGCCGAGAGCAGCGACGCGGGCUCUAGCUCGCGGCCGCCUCUACAGUCUAAGGGAUGCGGCCGCGUCUGAGCUGCUGAGCUGGGGCGCAGCCAGGCGGUGGCAGCGACUCCGGGGGCGGAGGGAGCAGCCACCGGGACCCGCCUCCAGCGCAGAGCGCCCCCCCCCUCCCGCCUCCGGCUCUCGCGUGUCCGCUUGCAGCGCAGUCCCGGGCGACGUGGGGCUCGAGGGUAAGCGCGACCGAGGCUCUUCCUUGUUGGCUCUCCUGCGUGCAAGAAGCUACAACUUGUCGGUUGACCCAUCUGUACGCGGCCGCAGGGUUUGUGCUCCACGUGUCACAAGGUUGCCUUUUGAUCUAGUCGUGGCUGGAGAAGAACACUGA
rnacentral:lncRNA from 1 species